UGACGUUAGCGGCGGACGGGUGAGUAACACGUGGAUAACCUACCUAUAAGACUGGGAUAACUUCGGGAAACCGGAGCUAAUACCGGAUAAUAUAUUGAACCGCAUGGUUCAAUAGUGAAAGACGGUUUUGCUGUCACUUAUAGAUGGAUCCGCGCCGCAUUAGCUAGUUGGUAAGGUAACGGCUUACCAAGGCAACGAUGCGUAGCCGACCUGAGAGGGUGAUCGGCCACACUGGAACUGAGACACGGUCCAGACUCCUACGGGAGGCAGCAGUAGGGAAUCUUCCGCAAUGGGCGAAAGCCUGACGGAGCAACGCCGCGUGAGUGAUGAAGGUCUUCGGAUCGUAAAACUCUGUUAUUAGGGAAGAACAAAUGUGUAAGUAACUAUGCACGUCUUGACGGUACCUAAUCAGAAAGCCACGGCUAACUACGUGCCAGCAGCCGCGGUAAUACGUAGGUGGCAAGCGUUAUCCGGAAUUAUUGGGCGUAAAGCGCGCGUAGGCGGUUUUUUAAGUCUGAUGUGAAAGCCCACGGCUCAACCGUGGAGGGUCAUUGGAAACUGGAAAACUUGAGUGCAGAAGAGGAAAGUGGAAUUCCAUGUGUAGCGGUGAAAUGCGCAGAGAUAUGGAGGAACACCAGUGGCGAAGGCGACUUUCUGGUCUGUAACUGACGCUGAUGUGCGAAAGCGUGGGGAUCAAACAGGAUUAGAUACCCUGGUAGUCCACGCCGUAAACGAUGAGUGCUAAGUGUUAGGGGGUUUCCGCCCCUUAGUGCUGCAGCUAACGCAUUAAGCACUCCGCCUGGGGAGUACGACCGCAAGGUUG
rnacentral:rRNA from 1 species